UUGGUGGCGAUGGCGGAGGGGCACCACGCGUACCCAUCCCGAACACGACCGUUAAGCCCUCCAGCGCCGAUGGUACUUGGACCGCAGGGUCCUGGGAGAGUAGGACGUUGCCA
rnacentral:rRNA from 1 species